rnacentral:rRNA from 1 species
AGAUUGAACGCUGGCGGCAUGCCUUACACAUGCAAGUCGAACGGUAGAGUAGCAAUACUUGAGAGUGGCGAACGGGUGAGUAAUAUAUCGGAACGUGCCCAGUCGUGGGGGAUAACGUAGAGAAUUUACGCUAAUACCGCAUACGAUCUAAGGAUGAAA